GAUGAGCGCUGGCGGCGUGCCUAAUACAUGCAAGUCGAGCGAAUGGAUUAAGAGCUUGCUCUUAUGAAGUUAGCGGCGGACGGGUGAGUAACACGUGGGUAACCUGCCCAUAAGACUGGGAUAACUCCGGGAAACCGGGGCUAAUACCGGAUAACAUUUUGAACCGCAUGGUUCGAAAUUGAAAGGCGGCUUCGGCUGUCACUUAUGGAUGGACCAGGGUCGCAUUAGCUAGUUGGUGAGGUAACGGCUCACCAAGGCAACGAUGCGUAGCCGACCUGAGAGGGUGAUCGGCCACACUGGGACUGAGACACGGCCCAGACUCCUACGGGAGGCAGCAGUAGGGAAUCUUCCGCAAUGGACGAAAGUCUGACGGAGCAACGCCGCGUGAGUGAUGAAGGCUUUCGGGUCGUAAAACUCUGUUGUUAGGGAAGAACAAGUGCUAGUUGAAUAAGCUGGCACCUUGACGGUACCUAACCAGAAAGCCACGGCUAACUACGUGCCAGCCGCCGCAGUAA
rnacentral:rRNA from 1 species